rnacentral:rRNA from 1 species
CCUACGGGGGGCUGCAGUAGGGAAUUUUCGGCAAUGGGGGAAACCCUGACCGAGCAACGCCGCGUGAAGGAAGAAGGUUUUCGGAUUGUAAACUUCUGUUAUAAAGGAAGAACGGCGGCUACAGGAAAUGGUAGCCGAGUGACGGUACUUUAUUAGAAAGCCACGGCUAACUACGUGCCAGCAGCCGCGGUAAUACGUAGGUGGCAAGCGUUAUCCGGAAUUAUUGGGCGUAAAGAGGGAGCAGGCGGCAGCAAGGGUCUGUGGUGAAAGCCUGAAGCUUAACUUCAGUAAGCCAUAGAAACCAGGCAGCUAGAGUGCAGGAGAGGAUCGUGGAAUUCCAUGUGUAGCGGUGAAAUGCGUAGAUAUAUGGAGGAACACCAGUGGCGAAGGCGACGAUCUGGCCUGCAACUGACGCUCAGUCCCGAAAGCGUGGGGAGCAAACAGGAUUAGAUACCCCUGUAGUC